UAGAGGAGCAUUAACUAGUAGUACAAUUUAAUAAAUCUGCCGUGCUGGAGUUGUCUGAUGCAUCUCUUUCACAAAACAUGAACCACAUUGGCCGCAAGGGCACUGGGAUUUGUUUGGUAUGCCUCAAACCCAAAACUGCAACAUUAAUCCUUUGAUUUCUGUGCCAAAAAAUAAAAGAAAAAAGAAGAGAGAGAAUCUUAAAUUCUUCUUCAGUGGAGUAUUUUAUUUUAUCUGUUGCAGUACUAUAUACUGGGAAGGGAAUGUCAAGGUGUUGCUCUAUCAAACAAAGCUGUAGCUAAAGUUUGGGUUCUUCUUUAUUUAAGCAACUUCUUUAAUUGUACUUGUCUCUUCCCCUUGAAAGGCUUCUUUUUCCUUCCUUUUUCUUCAAAGACAACUACUUUGUGAUCUUCAUAGCUCACACGGUGCAUGAGACUCUCUCAGGUCAGAAAAUUCACUCUCAUUUUUGCUUUUCCUUUUUCGUGCUUCUGCAUAUACGUACUGAUAAGGAAGAAUUUAGGAUAAUAUAUAUGAGUUUCUUUGUUGAAAUUAACUCCUUAAUUCUCUCUAGUCUAGCCAAUGAAAUAUAUAUAGGAACAAUAAUUAAUGAGCAAACAUCUAGUUAUAUAUAGUCUCUCAUGUUUUUAUUAUCCACAGGUUUUUAUUUGCUUUUCUUCCAUAAUACUACAAAUUAAACAAUACUCUAUAUAACCAAUAUGAUUUCUUGAAUGGAUUCUCAAACAAGAGUACUGUGUUAAAUGUUUUAUUGAUCAUAUAAAUCCCCCC
rnacentral:lncRNA from 1 species